UACAUGGGGUGCAAACGUUGCUCGGAAUCAUUGGGCGUAAAGCGCGCGUAGGCGGUUACUUAAGUUGGAUGUGAAAGCCCUCGGCUUAACCGAGGAAGUGCAUCCAAAACUGAGUAGCUAGAGUACGAAAGAGGGUCGCGGAAUUCCCGGUGUAGAGGUGAAAUUCGUAGAUAUCGGGAGGAACACCGGUGGCGAAGGCGGCGACCUGGGUCGAGACUGACGCUGAGGCGCGAAAGCUAGGGGAGCAAACGGG
rnacentral:rRNA from 1 species